rnacentral:rRNA from 1 species
AGUAACACGUGGGUAACCUGCCCCGAUGAUUGGGACAACCCGAGGAAACUCGGGCUAAUACCGAAUGUGCCCUUCGACCGCAAGGUCGCUGGGGAAAGGAAGCUUCGGCCUCCGCAUCGGGAUGGGCCCGCGGCCCAUUAGCUUGUUGGUGAGGUAACGGCUCACCAAGGCAACGAUGGGUAGCUGGUCUGAGAGGACGAUCAGCCACACUGGGACUGAGACACGGCCCAG